GACGAACGCUGGCGGCGUGCUUAACACAUGCAAGUCGAACGGAAAGGCCUCUUUCGGGGGGUACUCGAGUGGCGAACGGGUGAGUAACACGUGAGUAACCUGCCCUUGACUUUGGGAUAACUUCAGGAAACUGGGGCUAAUACCGGAUAGGAGCUCCUGCUGCAUGGUGGGGGUUGGAAAGUUUCGGCGGUUGGGGAUGGACUCGCGGCUUAUCAGCUUGUUGGUGGGGUAGUGGCUUACCAAGGCUUUGACGGGUAGCCGGCCUGAGAGGGUGACCGGCCACAUUGGGACUGAGAUACGGCCCAGACUCCUACGGGAGGCAGCAGUGGGGAAUAUUGCACAAUGGGUGGAAGCCCGAUGCAGCAACGCCGUGUGCGGGAUGACGGCCUUCGGGUUGUAAACCGCUUUCGCUCGUGACGAAGCUUUGUGUGACGGUAGUGGGUAAAGAAGCACCGGCUAACUACGUG
rnacentral:rRNA from 1 species